AACCAAAAACUGAAGAAACUAUAGCCAAGAAUAUAAUUACUGAAUGCACAGUAAAAUGCCCAUCAGAGGUUUUUGCAGGCACCAGGAAGGACAGUGUGUAUUUAUUCUCACUAUAGUAUUACUUUUCACUCUCAGAUGACUUGUCUUAUUAACAUAAGCCAAAUGGGUCACUGGCUGCCUGUCUGAGGGAAUGUUUAGCAUGAGAGAUUCUGUACAUGGAGCUAAAUCAACAGGGAAAUGCAAGGCCAGUUACCUUUCCUCCAAGGCACAGAGCUUAAGGUUUUGUUUGUAUGCCCUUUGUAAGUCAGUAUCUGUGCUGAGUAAGAAUCUGGUGGUGACAGAGAAUAAUCUUUCCUAGGAAAGCAGCAGCUGGUUAAAGCCAGGACCCUGAUAAUUCUGGCAGUUAUGGAGGCCCUGUGCUCAUGGAUGUGAAGGGAGGGUCAGCAUAUGACGUGGGGAAAAAUAUAUUACUUCUUGAAUCCUGGCAUCCCUGCUGACUUUUUCCUGCCAUCCGCAUGAGCAUACCAAAUUUAAUGUCAGCAAGGGACUUCUUCUGGAACAGAAAAUAUCCUGUGAGAUGUCACCAGGAACUGUCAGCUGGGAUUUGUUAAAACAAGAUGACCAGAUUUGCAAGGACUAAUGUUAGUCCACUAAAACAACUAAGACAUUGAAAUGUCUUUUCAUAUUGAAAGCUUUUCUAGUAGUUUGCAAUGCAAUUACGUGUUGGUUAGAAACACUCAGAGUGUUUCCCUCUGUUAUGCUUAGAGUGAGCAGGUAUUUAUGCUGCCUGCCCAUACCUUUUGUCUUCCUGGUCUGUUGAAGCUUACAGGGAACUGAUGCUGACUUUAGGAUCUCUCAGUUACACAGUGUCAAAGAUAAAUCUGAACACAUGAAUCCAGCUUUUCAUUCCAGUUAUUUAAUUAUGCUGUUACUUUGUUCUGAUAUUGAAACCAUCAUUAUUUAAAUCUCAUUCCAUAACAAAAUACUUCUAGUUACAGAUCAUUGGAGUUUAAUCAGCCCUUGAGUUCAUCAGAUAGUUGAAUAUUUCCUGCAAGACACGAGACUGAAGUCCUCCCAAGCUAUUAGUUAAGCUGUCUCUAAAUUAUCACCUGCUUUUGAAAGAAAUAGGACUUCCCGUUCCUGGCAAGAUGCUGGCAUUGCAGGAGCAUGUUUACAGCACUGCCUACUGAGAUGGCACGGUUUCUGUCAUAUGAUACAUCUUUGGGAACUAUGACUCUCCUUGCUACUCAGGUGGACAGAGCAUGCUGUCACCAGAACACCACUAAGAUACUUCUAAUUCUCCAGUGAACUCUGAAUUUUCUGAAUUAACUCAAAUUCAAGACCACGUUCUUCAAUACACAUAGUACUGCCCCAACUAUAUUUGUCAAAAGUUAUCUGCUGUUGAAUAGGACCAGAGCUAGACCAGGAAUAAAUAUACUGAGGAAUUUCAGUUUUAUUAACAUAUCCUGUUGAGAUCAUCUCCACUCCCUUGGAUCCUGGAUCUUGUGAAGCAAAUACUGCAGCACUGCAAACUUUUGCUGUGCUAGUUCAACAUGAUAUUAUUUCCCUCUGUGCUUGUACAUGGAAAGAGAUUUGAGUGGGACAAGAAAAAAGGUUCAGGUAUAUAUCACCCUGCAAACGGUGGGGAAAGAGUAGCAGAUAUUAAUAUCAGAGAGAACACAUAAGAAGAAAUUAAUUUCUCCAGCCAUUGCCUGCUGAGUUUCCAUUAAGUCCUGGCAGCAAUGGGAAUCAGCGACUUCUUUUCUCAGCUGUCGCUGUAACCUAAAAAGAGCCCUGAAAGGCUCCGUGGAAGGUGACAUUGAGAAGACAGGUCAGUGCUGCACUGGAUGUGUGGCUUAUGGAAAAGGCAGAAGAACAGGUUUUUUUAUGACAUAUAUUUUAUCAUAUUUUAGAGGAGCUCAGUACAAAAGGUAUUUUCCUCAGCUUCCCUGGUAGAGCACAGAUAAUUGUAUUCUUCUCUCUGUACCCUGAAAAGUACCUGAUUUUGUCAUUAUGCCUGAGUGCAUAUAAACUUCAUCAGGGUUAUAUUGUUACUACUCUCUCUAAAUUGAUUUCAUUCAAUGUGUAGAAAUUGUGUAAGGCUCCAUAAACUAAACAAUUUUGAUUUUUUUUUUUCAUUGUCUUUGGACAAUAUAAAACAAUCACAUCAAGAAAAACUGCCUAAAAUUUGAAUUUGAGAACACAAUUCAGUAAAAAGAUAAUAAAAAUAGUCAGAAUAUUUGAAAAGUCAGAAAAGCACCGUAACUCUUUGUAAUGAUAGAGGGUGACACUUGUGUUUAGGACUGUGAAAUAUACUGGCAAACAGUAUGUUGCUCAUGUACAGCAAAUUUGUAAAGCAGUAAGAAUUAGAGGUGAAUAUCCAUAUAUACUUACAUUUAGAUAUUGUAGAACUUUUGCAU